rnacentral:rRNA from 1 species
GGAGGCCAGUGAAUGGCAACACUAAGAACACCUAUACACCCUGCGUUAAAAGAACUUUUCGUCUAAGUGAAAAGACUUAGAUAAUUGUAGGAAGACGAAAAGACCCCGCGGAGCUUUACUUUCUCUGGCACAAACAUCCAUUAAUACAAGUGCAAGAAGUUUGAUUGGGGCAAUCUCGGAACCACCAAACUUCCGACACUUUAAGAAAAAUAUCAAAAACUUACUACGGACAAGACAGAAGCUACCCCGGGGAUAACAGCGUUAUCCAACUUGAGAGUACACAUCGAAAGUUGGGUUUGCGACCUCGAUGUUGGCUUAA